UCACAACUCAUACGUGAUAUUAUUCAUAUGAUCGCGAGUCUUACGCGCCUUAAACGGCGCCGCAAAAUGCUCAUAAUCAUAGGCGAUGUCCGCAUUGUAAGAGCUGCAGCGACGCAAGCGAUGGUGUGGUACGAAGGAGCUGCUGUAGGGCGCCUGACUUCCAUGGCCGGCGCCAAAACAGCGCAUCGCCGCACACAGCAGUGUGCACCAACGCCAGCUUGGGAAGGCAUAAAACUGAUGCGAUCCAUUGCUGUUUUGGCCCUUUUUGGCCAGCAAGGGCUGGCGACUGUGAUGCACAUAUGGAUUAUAGUUGGAGCGAAAGCUGUUGUCGCUGCUGUUGCCGCUGUCAUCGCCGCUGCUGCUGUCGCUGCGUCGCAGACCCAAACGGAACAGAUUGCCGUUGUUGUGCGCUGCAUUGGCAAAGUCCUCAAAAUCCAAAUGUGAAUCCUUCUCGAAAUCGCGAUCAAUGGAAACGGCGGGCGUGAUGAUCAUAAAUUGACUAUAUUUACGGUUGUGGCUCGGUGCCGGACGAUGUUGACUGUGGCUCUGACUGUUGGUGCCAGCACUGCGUUGGUUGGAGAUGGAGUUCAAUAGCGUUUGAUUUGUGUCAACCGAGGAGUAGCUAUUGGAAUUCGAUAUGGGCGACAUAUUAUUGUUGUUAUUGCUACUGAUACUGCCUCCGCCGUAGCCACUGCUACUGUUGUUGUUAUCAUUAUUAUUACUAUAGCUAUGAUUAACGUUGUUGUUGU
rnacentral:miRNA from 1 species